rfam:Clostridium sp. CAG:43 genomic scaffold, scf454
UGAUUUCUUCGGGGCAGGGCGAAAUUCCCUACCGGCGGUAUAGUCCGCGAACCGCGAUGGCGGCCGAUUCGGUGAGAUUCCGAAACCGACAGUAUAGUCUGGAUGAGAGAAGAGGCAG